UACAGAGGUGGCAAGCGUUGUUCGGAAUUACUGGGCGUAAAGGGCGCGUAGGCGGCCUUGUAAGUCCCGUGUGAAAGCCCCCGGCUCAACUGGGGAAUUGCACGGGAAACUGCGGGGCUUGAGUUCGGGAGAGGGAAGCGGAAUUCCGGGUGUAGCGGUGGAAUGCGUAGAGAUCCGGAAGAACACCGGUGGCGAAGGCGGCCUGCUGGGCAGUGGCUGACGCUGAGGCGCGACAGCGUGGGGAGCAAACAGG
rnacentral:rRNA from 1 species